GUGCUCUCACUUGGCAGCACUUAUACUAAAAUUGGAACAAUACAAAGAUUAGCAAGGCCCCUGCACAAAGACCACUUGGAAAUUUGUGAAGUGUUCCAUAUUUUG